GCCACCGAUAAAGAAACACCCACAUGCAGUGUGAGACUCAGCCCAUGUCACGUUUGGGCUAUCGCCGUGUUUGGGUCUGAUAAGAGUUGUACGAAGAGGUCACGAUAAAGCAUCCACUCUUUUGCUCUUGGGCGAUAACGGAGAGUCGACCCACCCUUUGUGAAUAAGAAGAGGCUAUGAGGCAGGAAAGCAGGUCACAGAGCGGAAUCAAAGAGUGCGACCAGGUUCAAAUGUGGGCGCAAAUACUCCUUUUGCAGUUUGCUCAUCCUGUAUUUCGAAGCGUACGCGCGUCUGUCACAUUUGCUUGACGUCGUACUGCGGUCACUUAGUUGCCACGACGUGCCAAAGGUGGAGCGGCUGAGGUCGGUGAUCCAAACGACCUUUCGACUCGGCGUCAUUGUCAACUUGCUUCAAGUGAAAAGACGGUCGGCCCGGAGGUGGGGAUUUCCUUCCAUGUGACUCGAAGCCUACAUUUUGCUGCCACGCAAGUUCACUGUAGCUUCCGAUGUCACCGCGACGUCCUCAGUCAAUGGCGACCCCGUCGCUGGAUGUUUCUCCAACGUUCCGAAAAACAUGCACGCUCGCUUCACGGAACGCUCAAAAUUAUCCCCGGGUGUGACUGUGAAUAUAAAAUCCGAUAUGGUUGAAUGCAUUUUUCGUUAUUAUCACAAGGGAAGUCAAACAAAUUGGAGAGGUGUACUUUACAUAUGAAACCACAAUUUGUAAAACAUUUAAUAAGGGGGAAAAAAUGCUGAUUUAAUGAAGGCAAAAAAGAGGUGAUCAUUUUGUCCCCGAAUCGAUCAAUUUCACAUUGCUUGGUUCAUAAAUUAGUCUUUGACCAAGUGAAAACUCAACCGCUUCCUUCCAAAAAAAAAAAAAAAAAAAAAAAAGAAAUUCAAAAUAGGCCCAAGCAGUCGUGGGCGAAUGAAAGAGAAAUUCAUCCCACAAAGCUAAUCGAAGCCAUUCAGGUAAAGAACAAAGAAAAUGGAUCAAGUGACGGAAAUCAAAGUUUCCCAUUUUUUAUUGAGCCAAGGCACAUAUUUGACAUUUGGAAAAAAAAA